rnacentral:rRNA from 1 species
UACGUAGGGGGCAAGCGUUGUCCGGAAUCAUUGGGCGUAAAGCGCGCGUAGGCGGCCCGGUAAGUCCGUUGUAAAAGUCGAAGGCUCAACCUUCGAAAGCCGAUGGAUACUGCCGGGCUAGAGUCCGGAAGAGGCGAGUGGAAUUCCUGGUGUAGCGGUGGAAUGCGCAGAUAUCAGGAGGAACACCGAUGGCGAAGGCAGCUCGCUGGGACGGUACUGACGCUGAGGCGCGAAAGCGUGGGGAGCGAACAGG